rnacentral:rRNA from 1 species
GAUGAACGCUGACAGAAUGCUUAACACAUGCAAGUCAAUGGGGAAACGGUGCUUGCACCGUGAUAACCAUGGCGGACGGGUGAGUAACGCGUAAAGAACUUGCCUCUUAGUCUGGGAUAACAGAUGGAAACGACUGAUAAAACUAGAUAUUAUUAAAGUUUCGCAUGAAGCUUUAAUGAAAAGAGAUGCUAAGAGAGAGCUUUGCGUCCUAUUAGUUAGUUGGUGAGGUAACGGCUCACCAAGACGAAGAUAGGUAGCCGGUCUGAGAGGAUGAACGGCCACAAGGGGACUGAGAUACGGCCCUUACUCUUACGGGAGGCAGCAGUGGGGAAUAUUGGACAAUGGAGGAGACUCUGAUCCAGCAAUUCUGUGUGCACGAAGACGGUUUUCGGAUUGUAAAGUGCUUUCAGCAGGGAAGAAGAAAGUGACGGUACCUGCAGAAGAAGCGACGGCUAAAUACGUGCCAGCAGCCGCGGUAAUACGUAUGUCGCGAGCGUUAUCCGGAAUUAUUGGGCAUAAAGGGCAUCUAGGCGGAUAUACAAGUCAGGGGUGAAAACUUAGGGCUCAACUCAAAGCUUGCCUUUGAAACUGUAUAUCUAGAGUGCUGGAGAGGUGGACGGAACUACACGAGUAGAGGUGAAAUUCGUAGAUAUGUGUAGGAAUGCCGAUGAUGAAGAUAGUCCACUGGACAGCAACUGACGCUGAAGUGCGAAAGCUAGGGGAGCAAACAGG